rnacentral:rRNA from 1 species
GAUGAACGCUGGCGGCGUGCUUAACACAUGCAAGUCGAGCGAACGGACGAGAAGUUUGCGUCUUUCGCGUUAGCGGCGGACGGGUGAGUAACACGUGGAGAAUCUACUUAUAUGACUGGGAUCACUUCGGGAAACCGGCGCUAACCCCGGAUGAUCUCUUGAACCGCAUGGUUCAAAAGUGAAAGUCGGCGUUGCUGUCACUACUAGCUGGAUCUGCGCUGCAUUAGCUGGUUGGUAAGGUAACGGCUUACCACGGCAACGAUGCAUAGCCGACGGGAGUGGGUGAUCGGCCACACUGGAACUGGGACACGGUCAAGACUCCUACGGGAGGCAGCAGUAGGGAAUCGUCCGCAGUAGGCGAGAACCUGGCGGAGCAGCGCCACGUGAGUGGUGAAAGUCUUCGGAUCGUGAAACUCUGUUAUGGGGGAAGAACAGAUGUGUACGGAGCUGUACACAUCUUGACGGUAACUAAUCAGAAAGCAACGGCUAACUACGUG